CUGUUUUAAGGAGGUCGCGUGUUUCAAGAAGGGCUAGAAAAGAAGGCCGAACGCUAAUGUAUCAGAGUGGCAGCGAUUGUCUUUGAGUGGAUUGAAGAAAAUGCUGCUUGGAGUGUGUCAGUGACUGUUACCAGCACUUGCACAACGGCUGAGCCGAAGCUGAGGUCAGUCCCAUUGGCCAGCGUGUCCUGAGGCCCUGCCAGGAGCGGAGCCCUCCCUGUUGCCUCCAGGCCUCGGCGUUUGGAGGGUGCUCAGGUUUCCGGGUGCUGCACUUCCUUUGUACUUAGCUGAAGAUAGUUUCCUGUUUCUAAGAAAAGGCUGCUUGGAUGUCUUAUGAGGUCCUUUGGACGGCAAAUCCUGCUGGCCUGGGGGGCUGAGGGGCAGGCCUGGAGGAGAGGGAAGCUGCCUGUCACCCUCUCCAGCCCUCAGGUGUCCUGGGACUCACAGAGGGAGGUGAGUAUGAAUAUUUGUCAGAUUGGAUGAAAGAUGAGGAGAAGUCUAUGUCCGGGCCAAAUAUGCCUGAACGAUGUAAAAAACAUCUGGAUCUGCUAAGCUCAAACAAAAGGAACUGAUAGAUGGGGACGGCAGAAAGGGACCUGUGUGAGUAACACCUUGGCGCUCACGGUGAGUCCUGCUCUUCCUGUGUCUGCCGCAGCUCCCAGCUCUGCCCCUCCCUCUGCCCCGCAGUCCCACAGAUGGCUGUUCCAGUGACAUCACACGCUGUUGCCAUGGAGGCAGCUGUUAUGGCGAAACAGAGCUGUCCUCAGGCCUUGGCCCUGUGGCUCACACUGUGUGAUGGGAUGUGGGGAGUCGUGCUGUGACCACAGGCCUCCAUGGAGUGCUGUGGGCGCCAACCAGCGGCCCCGCUGGGACGCGCCGUGGUGGGAAUGCAGACCCUGGACAGAGCCGGGAAGCCCACGAAAGAGGGGGAGCGGCCAGGCCUGGCCUGCUGGCCACACGGUGACAGCAGCCUCUCCCGCUGCCACACCGGAUGCUCCAGGCUCACGGGCCUUCACUGGGAGACACGGCGUGCUGAAGGCCUGGGCCCUAGAGGCCCGGCCACCGGCGUCCCAGUCCUGGCUCCAGGGCCUGCCAAGGCCCUGCGUCCCACUUAGGACAAAGUAGGCCCUGGGAGAGCAAGGAUGUGGCUUACCGCCAGUGUGGACAACAGUGCCUGGCACAUAUAGGCAUUAUAUGUAUUGUAGUUCCUCUUAUAUGUAAUAUACAUCCUUACAUAAGCUUUGUUAGAGUACUUUAGAGUACUUAAUGCAGUAUCUCUUAAAUAUCAGCUGCUUAUAGUAUUAAGUAAUAACAUACUUAACAUUUAUUAUUACUUAAUAAUAAAGGUGCAAUAGCACACUACCUUACUUUGGUAGUAAAGGUCAGCUCUUACAGGAGCACAGUCCCUUACAGUUUAUGAGAUGUUCUGGCACUUGAGCCCUCACUGGAGGCUUGCAGCUAGCCUGCAAAUGGCAGCAUUAUGGUUUUUGCUUGCCACCGAAAUGGAAUUAACAUGAGGAUCAGAACUGCAGAUCUUGCCGGAAGUUAUUUCUGGGAAGAUGGAAGAAGAAAGGUGCAAAGCAUCCGACUCCUGGAGAACUGCCUGUUUGGAACUCCAAGCAUCAGUCAUAUUCACUAGUUCAAUAGCAAGGAUAUUUCAAGGGACGCUCCAAGAACGCUGUGGGCUAAAUGUUGACUUACAUCUCAGUUCUCUCGGUUUCCAGAGAGGCAGUAAGCGCAGAGCGUAAGUGUUAGACUCUUGCAGGCGACCAACCAGCUUGGGUAG